GAUGAACGCUGGCGGCGUGCCUAAUACAUGCAAGUCGAGCGAACAGACGAGGAGCUUGCUCCUUUGACGUUAGCGGCGGACGGGUGAGUAACACGUAGGUAACCUAACUAUAAGACUGGGCUAACUUCGGGAAACCGGAGCUACUACCGGAUAAUAUUUCGAACCGCAUGGUUCGAUAGUGAAAGAUGGUUUUGCUUUCACUUAUGGAUGGCCCUGCGCCGUAUUAGCUAGUUGGUAAGGUAACGGCUUACCAACGCAACGAUACUAAGCCGACUCGAGAGGGUGAUCGGCUACACGGGAACUGAGACACGGUCCAGACUCCUACGGGAGGCAGCAGUAGGGAAUCUUCCGCAAUGGGCGAAAGCCUGACGGAGCAACGCCGCGGGAGUGAUGAAGGUCUUCGGAUCGGAAAACGCUGUUAUUAGGGAAGAACAAACGUGUAAGUAACUGGGCACGUCUUGACGGUACCUAAUCAGAAAGCCACGGCUAACUACGUG
rnacentral:rRNA from 1 species